UAGGGAAUCUUCCGCAAUGGGCGAAAGCCUGACGGAGCAACGCCGCGUGAGUGAAGAAGGAUUUCGGUUCGUAAAGCUCUGUUGUUAGGGAAGAAUGAUUGUGUAGUAACUAUACACAGUAGAGACGGUACCUAACCAGAAAGCCACGGCUAACUACGUGCCAGCAGCCGCGGUAAUACGUAGGUGGCAAGCGUUGUCCGGAAUUAUUGGGCGUAAGGCGCGCGCAGGUGGUUUAAUAAGUCUGAUGUGAAAGCCCACGGCUCAACCGUGGAGGGUCAUUGGAAACUGUUAAACUUGAGUGCAGGAGAGAAAAGUGGAAUUCCUAGUGUAGCGGUGAAAUGCGUAGAGAUUAGGAGGAACACCAGUGGCGAAGGCGGCUUUUUGGCCUGUAACUGACACUGAGGCGCGAAAGCGUGGGGAGCAAACAGGAUUAGAUACCCUGGUAGUCCACGCCGUAAACGAUGAGUGCUAAGUGUUGGUCUCAUAAGAGAUCAGUGCUGCAGCUAACGCAUUAAGCACUCCGCCUGGGGAGUACGACCGCAAGGUUG
rnacentral:rRNA from 1 species